CCAGACUCCUACGGGAGGCAGCAGUGAGGAAUAUUGGUCAAUGGGCGCUAGCCUGAACCAGCCAAGUAGCGUGAAGGAUGACUGCCCUAUGGGUUAUAAACUUCUUUUAUAUGGGAAUAAAGUGCAGUAUGUAUACUGCUUUGCAUGUACCUUAUGAAUAAGGAUCGGCUAACUCCGUGCCAGCAGCCGCGGUAAUACGGAGGGUGCGAGCGUUAAUCGGAAUUACUGGGCGUAAAGCGCUCGUAGGCGGUAUGUCAAGUCAAGGGUGAGAUCCCCGCGCUCAACGUGGGAACUGCCUUUGAAACUGGCAAACUGGAGUGUGUGAGAGGAUAGUGGAAUUCCAGGUGUAGGAGUGAAAUCCGUAGAUAUCUGGAGGAACAUCAGUGGCGAAGGCGACUAUCUGGCACAUAACUGACGCUGAGGAGCGAAAGCGUGGGUAGCAAACAGGAUUAGAUACCCCAGUA
rnacentral:rRNA from 1 species